GAUGAAGAACGCAGCGAAAUGCGAUAAGUAAUGUGAAUUGCAGAAUUCAGUGAAUCAUCGAAUCUUUGAACGCACCUUGCACCCUUUGGCAUUCCGAAGGGUAUGCUCGUUUGAGUGUCAUUGUACUCUCACUCUCCCGAUGCUUUUGGAUCGGGAGUGGUGGACUUGGGUGUUGCUGCUUUGCUGUGGCUCGCCUCAAAUGGAGUAGUGCAACUCUUGGUUGGACAUAGUACGGCGUGAUAAGUGUCUUCACCGGCGCCUCAUUAUAGAGGGUGGCCGAUCGGGAGCUCUGUGCUUCAAACCGUCUUCGGACAACAUCUGACAACUUGACCUCAAAUCGUGUAGGACUACCCGCUGAACUUAAGCAUAUCAAUAAGCGGAGGA
rnacentral:misc_RNA from 1 species